AUGACCAUUGUGUAUUCAAGCUAAAGAGUGGCCAUAUGACCAUUUAAACUCCUUGUCAUAUUCGGCCAUAAGCAAGCACAAUGAGGUUUUAAUAAAUUGAAUUUGUUUGAAUUAGCUCAAGAGCUAAGAGGGCCACAAUUGGACAAGGGGAAGGAAAAGGUGAUCGAAUAGCCGAAAAAGCCGUUCGACAACAUCCGAGUUUUCUAGAUUUCGCUCGAAGCAAUCGGAUUUGGGAUCGUUGAAGUCGAAGUCAUCCACACUAUCAAGCCCCCAUUUUGGUAUAAAUUCUUGGUUGAACUUGAAAUGGCAUGUAUAGGACCACCCCUUGUUGGUUAAAUAUGUUGUGAUGUAUAUAUGUACGGCCAUGCGAAAAUGGCUCGUAAAAGUGAAGUAUCGACUUAGACUAAUUGUGGUUUGUAUGUAUAUAUAUUUGGUGUCAUGAUGUGGCUAUGGCUUGGAAAUGGGAAUGUUGGUCACAUGAUCAGCCAUUGGCAUGGUUAAAA